rnacentral:rRNA from 1 species
AUGCACGCGACCUCUCCUUUCCUCUCCAAUCUCUCUCGUUUUUCCUUCACAUCGGCAAGGGUUGCCGCCGCCGCCGCCUCGCUCACUCCCCAAAUUUUCUCCCCCCUCCCCAAAUCCUGCAGCGGCCGCCUCUGCUGCUCCUGCGCCUGGUCGUCGCCGCCUCUGCUGCUCCUGCGCGUGGUCGUCAGCGCCUCUCCUCCCACCUCAGCGUCCAACCGCCUCAGUGCCUCUUCCUCUUCAUCUCGGACGGCGUCGAGUGCGGCCGCCCCGUGCUCUCUCUCUCUCUCCCAGGUCGACCCAGGAGGAGCUCGAGCGGCAGCGCUGGUCCACGGCGCCGUCGUUGUUGGCAGGAGCGUGAGCGCACAGACGGUCGUCUCCCUCCGGCUUCAUGUCGCCGUCCAUCAACCCGUGAGGUCAGUCCCUGCGUCCUCGCCUCAACCCUCGCUGUCACGCAAGCCUUCUCCUCCGUCCUCUCAAUGUUUUGCGAUGAACUGGCUGCCGACGCUGCAGUGUAGACCACCAUGA